rnacentral:rRNA from 1 species
AUGCCAGACUCCUACGGGAGGCAGCAGUGGGGAAUAUUGCACAAUGGGGGAAACCCUGAUGCAGCGACGCCGCGUGAGCGAUGAAGUAUCUCGGUAUGUAAAGCUCUAUCAGCAGGGAAGAAAGUGACAGUACCUGACUAAGAAGCCCCGGCUAACUACGUGCCAGCAGCCGCGGUAAUACGUAGGGGGCAAGCGUUAUCCGGAUUCACUGGGCGUAAAGGGAGCGCAGGCGGCACGGCAAGUCUGGUGUGAAAGCCCGGGGCUCAACCCCGGGACUGCAUUUGAAACUGUCAGGCUGGAGUGCAGGAGAGGUAAGUGGAAUUCCUAGUGUAGCGGUGAAAUGCGUAGAUAUUAGGAGGAACACCAGUGGCGAAGGCGGCUUACUGGACUGUAACUGACGUUGAGGCUCGAAAGCGUGGGGAGCAAACAGGAUUAGAUACCCUAGUAA